rnacentral:rRNA from 1 species
UACGUAGGUGGCGAGCGUUGUCCGGAAUUACUGGGUGUAAAGCGCGUGUAGGCGGGAGGCCAAGUCUGCUGUGAAAUCGCCCGGCUCAACUGGGCGGGGUCGGUGGAAACUGGUCACCUGGAGGACGGUAGAGGCGAGUGGAAUUCCCGGUGUAGUGGUGAAAUGCGUAGAGAUCGGGAGGAAGGCCGGUGGCGAAGGCGGCGCUCUGGAACGUUUCUGACGCUGAGGCUCGAAAGCGUGGGGAGCAAACAGG